AGAGUUCGAUCCUAGCUCAGGAUGAACACUGGAGGCAUGCUUAACACAUGCAAGUCAGACAAAAAGUGGUCUUUCCAGUGGUGGACAGGUGAGUAACGCAUAAAAACCUGCCCCUAGGAGGGGAACGACAGCUGAAAAAGGCUGCUAAUACCCCGUAGGCUUAGAAGCAAAAGGAGGAAUCUGCUCAAAGAGGGGCUUGUAUCUGAUUAGCUAGUUGGUGAGGUAAUAGCUUACUAAGGAAAUGAUCAGUAGCUAGUCUAAGAGGAUGAUACACAGCCUAGAAUCAUAUGGGAGGUAGUAGUGGAGAAUUUUUAGCAAUGGGUGAAAGCCUGAUAGAGCAAUGCCGCUUGGAGUUAGAAGGCCCACAGGUCGUGAACUUCUUUCUUGAAAAAGAAGUAAUGGCAGUAUCUAGGGAAUAAGCAUCAGCUAACUCUGUGCCAGCAGCAGCGGUAAGAUAGAGGAUGCAAGCAUUAUUUGGAAUGAUUGGGUGAAAAACGUUUGUAAGUGGGUUUUUAAGUCUAUCGUCAAAUCCCAAGGCUCAAUCCUGGGCAAGUGGUGGAAACUACCAAGCUGGAGUACGGUAGGGGCCGAGGAAAUUUUCGGUGGAGCGGUGAAAUGUGUAGAGAUCGAAAAGAACACCAACGACAAAAGUACUAUGUUGGGCCGACACUGAUAUUGAGAUAUGAAAGCUAGGGGAGCGAAUGGGAUUAAAUACCUCAGUAGUCCUAGUCGUAAACAAUGGAUACUAGGCGCUGUGCGUAUCGGCCCGUGCAAUGCUGUAGCUAACGCAAUAUGUAUCCCACCUAGAGAGUACGUUGCUAGAAUAUAAAUCAAAGGAAUUGACGGUGGCCCGCACAAGUGAUGGAGCAUGUGGUUCAAUUCGAUGCAAAGCGAAGAACCUUAUCAGGGCUUGAAAUGUUGCGAAUCCUCUUGAAAGAGAGGGGUGCCUUCAAGAAUGCGGACACAGGUAGUGCAUGGCCGUCGUCAGCUCGUGUCGUAAGGUGUUGGGUUAAGUCCCACAAUGAGCGUAACCCUCAUGUUUAGUUGCCAUCGUUAAGUUUGGAACCCUGAACAGACUACCGAUGAUAAGUCAAAUGAAGGUGAGGAUGAUGUCAAGUCAUCAUGCCCUAGGCGACACAUGUGCUACAAUAUCUAAGACAAAGGGUUGUGAUCCCGCAAGGGUCAGCUAACCCCAAAAACCCAUCCUCAGAUCGGAUUGCAGGCUACAACUUGCCUGUAUGAAACUGAAAUUGCUAGUAAUCAUCGAUCAGCCAUACAACGGUGAAUUCAUUCCCAGGCCUUGUACACACCGCCUAUCACACUAUGGAAGCUAGCCAUGCCCAAAGUCAUUAUCUUAACCACAAGGAGGAGAAUGCCGAAGGUAGGGCUAGUGACUGGAGUGAAGUUGUAACAAGCUAGUCGUACUGGAAGGUGUGGCUG
rnacentral:rRNA from 1 species